rnacentral:rRNA from 1 species
GAUGAACGCUAGCGGCAGGCUUAAUACAUGCAAGUCAAGGGGGUAGCAAUACAACCGGCGCACGGGUGAGUAACGCGUACACAACAUACCAUAUACUGGAGUAUAGCUUUGGGAAACUGAAGGUAAUCCUCCAUAACAUUGCGAGAGGGCAUCUGAUUGCAAUUAAAGUUCCGGCGGUAUAUGAUUGGUGUGCGUUUGAUUAGCUAGUUGGUAGGGUAACGGCCUACCAAGGCGACGAUCAAUAGCUGGCGUGAGAGCGCGACCAGCCACACUGGAACUGAGACACGGUCCAGACUCCGUACGGGAGCAGCAGUAGGGAAUAUUGGACAAUGGGCGAAAGCCUGAUCCAGCCAUGCCGCGUGAUAGAUGAAGGCCCUCGUGGGUUGUAAAUAUCUUUUAUCUGGGAAGAAACUCCUCUAUUCUUAGA